UGGGGAAUUUUGGACAAUGGGCGAAAGCCUGAUCCAGCAACGCCGCGUGAGUGAAUAAGGCCUUAGGGUUGUAAAGCUCUUUCAGUGGGGAAGAUAAUGACGGUACCCACAAAAGAAGCCCCGGCUAACUUCGUGCCAGCAGCCGCGGUAAUACGAAGGGGGCUAGCGUUACUCGGAAUUACUGGGCGUAAAGCGUGCGUAGGCGGUUUGAUAAGUUAAGAGUGAAAGCCUUGGGCUCAACCCAAGAACUGCUUUUAAAACUGUUAAACUUGAGUAUCAUAGGGGAUAGCGGAAUUCCUAGUGUAGAGGUGAAAUUCGUAGAUAUUAGGAGGAACACCGGUGGCGAAAGCGGCUAUCUGGGUGAUUACUGACGCUGUUGCACGAAAGCGUGGGGAGCAAA
rnacentral:rRNA from 1 species